rnacentral:misc_RNA from 1 species
GUUUCGGCCUCCCAGUCUAGCGUGGCACAAGUGGGCGUGUCAACAGUGACUCGAACAAGACUAUGUCCACACAUGAGCAGUCACGGAUUGGUGUGUCUCGCGAGCUCCUUGCCUCUCGCAAUCAACCACCGAAGAGGCCAUCCUUCUUAGUCCUGUGCUCAUUCGUAUCUUUAGGCCAUCCUUUUUAGUCAUGUGCAUUGCGUGUGCCAUCUACCCAGCUCUGUAGGAAGUCAACGUACCUCAUGUGCCAGUUCGCCUCACGACCUCGAGCGGGAGGCAUAACCACAAUGUGGUCGUCGCGCACACCUUAACAACACAACCCUUGGCCCCCGUGCUAGCUGGGCUCUAGAAGUAUCACAAGCUCUCGUGAAUGCAGCAGGCUUCGGGGACUUCGGCCCUCAGCCUAGACCUUGGUAGGUCAUUAAGCCACCCUCGUCGAGACAAUGGUCGAUCCUGCGGGCGGUCGGGCGCCUUAACAGCAUCGGCAUCACAAAGGACAUGCUACCUGGUUG